UUUCUAAUUCCACCUGGAGGAGCUUGCUAUCUAACCGAUAAUCCACGUCAAACCUCACCAGCCUUUGAACUAAACAGCUUGUAUACCAUCGUCGUCAGUUUACUUCACAAGAAACGUAAACAAAAAGAACACAGACUUCUUAACGUCAGAUCGAGGUGCAGCUAAUAAGCUGGGGAUAAGUGAGCUACAAUUAUAGUAAUAAAACAAAAACUAUCAAUGAACGGCAGAUUGACACCACCUGCCUAAAAUAGGAUUCAGAAGUAAUGGGCAAACAGAAAGUGCCCACGAACACACCUAAAGCUCUAGAACGCGC
rnacentral:rRNA from 1 species